rnacentral:tRNA from 1 species
GAGGGCAUAGCUCAGUGGGAGAGCAUGUGCUUAGCAUGCACGAGGUCCUGGGUUCAGUCCCCUGAACCUCCA